GCUGGGCGCAGUGGCUUACGCCUGUAAUCCCAGCACUUUGGGAGGCUGAGGCUGGUGGAUCACCUGAGGUCAGGAGUUCAAGACCAGCCUGACCAACAUGGAGAAACCCCAUCUCUAGAGUACAAAAUUAGCUGGGCAUGGUGGCAUGUGCCUGUAAUCCCAGCUACUCGGGAGGCUGAGGCAGGAGAAUCACUUGAACCCGGGAGGUGGAGGUUGUGGUGAGCCGAGAUUGCUCCAGCCUGAGCAACAAGAGUGAAACUCUGUCUCA
ensembl:misc_RNA Metazoa_SRP Metazoan signal recognition particle RNA